rnacentral:rRNA from 1 species
AGCGGAGGAAAAGAAACCAACAGGGAUUGCCUCAGUAACGGCGAGUGAAGCGGCAACAGCUCAAAUUUUAAAGCUGGCGUCUUCGACGUCCGCAUUGUAAUUUGGAGAGGCAUCUUCGGAUUGGGCGCCAGCCUAUGUUCCUUGGAACAGGACGUCACAGAGGGUGAGAAUCCCGUGCUUGGCUGGCUGUCCCAUUUCAUGUGAAGUGUCUUCGACGAGUCGAGUUGUUUGGGAAUGCAGCUCAAAAUGGGUGGUAAAUUUCAUCUAAAGCUAAAUAUUGGUGGGAGACCGAUAGCGCACAAGUAGAGUGAUCGAAAGAUGAAAAGCACUUUGAAAAUAGAGUUAAAAAGUACGUGAAAUUGUUGAAAGGGAAGCGCUUGAGACCAGACUCGGCUGGUGAUGAUCAGCUGUCCUUUUGGGCAGUGCACUUGUCGCCGGUUGGGCCAGCAUCGGUUGAGACGGCGGGAUAAAGGUUUUGGGAAUGUGGCUCCUCUCGGGGAGUGUUAUAGCCCAGAAUGCAAUGCCGCCAGCCUCGACCGAGGACCGCGCUUCGGCUAGGAUGCUUGGCAUAAUGGUCUUCAGCGACCCGUCU